ensembl:ncRNA Y102A11A.11 ncRNA
CAUGCCUUUUUUGGGGUGAAGGUCGGGUUUGGCGGCAUCCUGUGGGGUCUCUCCUUCUCCAAUCCACUGGUCACGCUUGUGGUUGUUCUGGUAGAGGACCCACUUCUCGUUUCCAGUGAUGAGUGGGUCCAACCAUCAAUCGCCCCCGUG